rnacentral:rRNA from 1 species
UAACACAUGCAAGUCGAACGAAGUAGCAAUACUUAGUGGCAGACGGGUGAGUAACUUGUGGGUAUCUACCCUUUGGCUUGGAAUAACACGAGGAAACUUGUGCUAAUACCGGAUAAGUCUUUACGGAGAAAGCUUUAUGCACCAUUGGAUGAGCCCGCACUUGAUUAGUUUGUUGGUAGGGUAAUGGCCUACCAAGACUAUGAUCAAUAGCUGAUUUGAGAGGAUGAUCAGCCACAUUGGGACUGAGACACGGCCCAAACUCCUACGGGAGGCAGCAGUGGGGAAUCUUGCACAAUGGAGGAAACUCUGAUGCAGCGAUGCCGCGUGAGUGAAGAAGGCCUUUGGGUUGUAAAGCUCUUUCGUCGGGGAAGAAAAUGACUGUACCCGAAUAAGAAGGUCCGGCUAACUUCGUGCCAGCAGCCGCGGUAAUACGAAGGGACCUAGCGUAGUUCGGAAUUACUGGGCUUAAAGAGUUCGUAGGUGGUUGAAAAAGUUGGUGGUGAAAUCCCAGAGUUUAACUCUGGAACUGCCAUCAAAACUUUUCAGCUAGAGUAUGAUAGAGGAAAGCAGAAUUUCUAGUGUAGAGGUGAAAUUCGUAGAUAUUAGAAAGAAUACCAAUUGCGAAGGCAGCUUUCUGGAUCAUUACUGACACUGAGGAACGAAAGCAUGGGUAGCGAAGAGGAUUAGAUACCCUCGUAGUCCAUGCCGUAAACGAUGUGUGUUAGACGUUGGAAAUUUAUUUUCAGUGUCGCAGGGAAACCGAUAAACACACCGCCUGGGGAGUACGACCGCAAGGUUAAAACUCAAAUGAAUUGACGGGGACCCGCACAAGUAGUGGAGCAUGUGGUUUAAUUCGAAGAUACGCGCAGAACCUUACCAACACUUGACAUGUUCGUCGCGACUCUAAGAGAUUAGAGUUUUCGGUUCGGCCGGGACGAAACACAGGUGCUGCAUGGCUGUCGUCAGCUCGUGUCGUGAGAUGUUGGGUUAAGUCCCGCAACGAGCGCAACCCUCACUUUUAGUUGCCAUCAUUAAGUUGGGCACUCUGAAAGAACUGCCAGUGAUAAGCUGGAGGAAGGUGGGGAUGACGUCAAGUCCUCAUGGCCCUUACGUGUUGGGCUACACACGUGCUACAAUGGCAUCUACGACAGGAAGCAAAACGGCAACGUUAAGCAAAUCCCGAAAAGAUGCCUCAGUUCGGAUUGCACUCUGCAACACGAGUGCAUGUAGCUGGAAUUACUAGUAAUCGUGGAUCAGCGUGCCACGGUGAAUGCGUUCCCGGGUCUUGUACACACCGCCCGUCACACCAUGGGAGUUGGUUCUACCUUAAGGCAAGGUUUUAAACCCUUGACCACGGUAUAGUCAGCGACUGGGGUG